rnacentral:rRNA from 1 species
GAUGAACGCUAGCGGCAGGCUUAAUACAUGCAAGUCGAGGGACAGCACAGGUAGCAAUACUGGGUGGUAACCGGCAAACGGGUGCGGGACACGUACACAACCUUCCUUUAAGUGGGGGAUAGCCCAGAGAAAUUUGGAUUAAUACCCCGUAAUAUAGUUGAAUGGCAUCAUUUGAUUAUUAUAGCUACGGCGCUUAAUGAUGGGUGUGCGGCUGAUUAGAUAGUUGGCGGGGUAACGGCCCACCAAGUCUACGAUCAGUAGCUGAUGUGAGAGCAUGAUCAGCCACACGGGCACUGAGACACGGGCCCGACUCCUACGGGAGGCAGCAGUAAGGAAUAUUGGUCAAUGGACGCGAGUCUGAACCAGCCAUGCCGCGUGAAGGAUUAAGGUCCUCUGGAUUGUAAACUUCUUUUAUUUGGGACGAAAAAGGGCCUUUCUAGGUCAACUGACGGUACCAGAUGAAUAAGCACCGGCUAACUCCGUGCCAGCCGCCGCGGUAACAC